rnacentral:rRNA from 1 species
ACGCACGCUGGCGGCGUGCUUAACCCAUGCAAGUCGAACGGAAAGGCCCUGCUUUUGUGGGGUGCUCGAGUGGCGAACGGGUGAGUAACACGUGAGUAACCUGCCCUUGACUUUGGGAUAACUUCAGGAAACUGGGGCUAAUACCGGAUAGGAGCUCCUGCUGCUUGGUGGGGGUUGGAAAGUUUCGGCGGUUGGGGAUGGACUCGCGGCUUAUCAGCUUGUUGGUGGGGUAGUGGCUUACCAAGGCUUUGCCGGGUAGCCGGCCUGAGAGGGUGACCGGCCACAUUGGGACUGAGAUACGGCCCAGACUCCUACGGGAGGCAGCAGUGGGGAAUAUUGCACAAUGGGCGGAAGCCUGAUGCAGCAACGCCGCGUGCGGGAUGACGGCCUUCGGGUUGUAAACCGCUUUCGCCUGUGACGAAGCGUGAGUGACGGUAAUGGGUAAAGAAGCACCGGCUAACUACGUG